rnacentral:tRNA from 1 species
GGGAUCUUAGCUCAGCUGGGAGAGCAUCUGCCUUACAAGCAGAGGGUCAUAGGUUCGCGCCCUAUAGGUCCCA